rnacentral:rRNA from 1 species
GAUGAACGCUGGCGGCGUGCUUAACACAUGCAAGUCGAACGAACCUUCGGGUUAGUGGCGGACGGGUGAGUAACGCGUGAGAAUCUGCCCUCAGGAGGGGGAUAACGGCUGGAAACGGCCGCUAAUACCCCAUAUGCCGAAAGGUGAAACGAAAUUCGCCUGAGGAUGAGCUCGCGUCUGAUUAGCUAGUUGGUGGGUAAAGGCCUACCAAGGCGUCGAUCAGUAGCUGGUCUGAGAGGAUGAUCAGCCACACUGGGACUGAGACACGGCCCAGACUCCUACGGGAGGCAGCAGUGGGGAAUUUUCCGCAAUGGGCGAAAGCCUGACGGAGCAACGCCGCGUGAGGGAAGAAGGCCUCUGGGCUGUAAACCUCUUUUCUCAAGGAAGAAGAUCUGACGGUACUUGAGGAAUAAGCCACGGCUAAUUCCGUG